UUGACCUCGGAUCAGGUAGGGAUACCCGCUGAACUUAAGCAUAUCAAUAAGCGGAGGAAAAGAAACCAACAGGGAUUGCCUCAGUACGCGAUA
rnacentral:rRNA from 1 species